GAGAGACAAGCUAUCUGCUAUCAGGUCAGUGCAGAGAGACAAGCUAGAUGCUAUCAGGUCAGUGCAGAGAGACAAGCUAGCUGCUAUCAGGUCAGUGCAGAGAGACAAGCUAGAUGCUAUCAGGUCAGUGCAGAGAGACAAGCUAUCUGCU